UGCCCCGUCGUCUAACCGGCAGGACGCCCGAUUCUGGAUCGGGUAAUCGUGGUUCGAAUCCAUGCGAGGCAGC
rnacentral:tRNA from 1 species